GGGGAACUCACGGAAGGGUUGGAGGGAUCGGAGGGCCUGAAAUGGCUGUAGUUGUGAGGAUCGAACAACGGCAAGUCGCCCAAGAUAGAACCCAUGAAAGAGUGAAUGCAGAACCUCUGCACAGUGCUCCCCCCUCGAAUCCACAGAGAGAGAGAGAGAGAGAGAGAGAGAGAGAGGAUGGCCUCAAAUUCUAGAAUCAGCCUCGCUGCUGGUGCUGGAGUUGCCUGGAAACAGGAC
rnacentral:lncRNA from 1 species